AAUCAACGCUGGCGGCGCGCCUAACACAUGCAAGUCGAACGAGAAAGUGGAGCAAUCCAUGAGUAAAGUGGCGUACGGGUGAGUAACACGUGGAUCAUCUACCCUCUAGUGGGGAAUACCGCUGGGAAACCGGCGACAAUACCGCAUAAGCUCGAGAGAGGAAAGCAGCAAUGCGCUGGAGGAGGAGUCCGCGGUCGAUUAGUUAGUUGGCAGGGUAAAAGCCUACCAAGACUGUGAUCGAUAGCCGGCCUGAGAGGGCACACGGCCACACUGGCACUGAAACACGGGCCAG
rnacentral:rRNA from 1 species